UACGUAGGGGGCAAGCGUUGUUCGGAUUCAUUGGGCGUAAAGGGUGCGUAGGUGGCGCUGUAAGUCGGGUGUGAAAUUUCGGAGCUUAACUCCGAAACUGCAUUCGAUACUGCGGUGCUCGAGGACUGGAGAGGAGACUGGAAUUCAUGGUGUAGCAGUGAAAUGCGUGGAGAUCAUGAGGAAGACCAGUGGCGAAGGCGGGUCUCUGGACAGUUCCUGACGCUGAGGAGCGAAAGCGUGGGGAGCGAACAGG
rnacentral:rRNA from 1 species